AAACUAACAAGGAUUCCCCUAGUAACUGCGAGUGAAGCGGGAAAAGCUCAAAUUUAAAAUCUGGCAGCCUUCGGUUGUCCGAGUUGUAGUCUGGAGAAGCGUUUUCCGCGCUGGACCGUGUAUAAGUCCCUUGGAAUAGGGCGUCAUAGAGGGUGAGAAUCCCGUCUUUGACACGGACUACCAGUGCUUUGUGAUGCGCUCUCAAAGAGUCGAGUUGUUUGGGAAUGCAGCUCAAAAUGGGUGGUAAAUUCCAUCUAAAGCUAAAUAUUGGCGAGAGACCGAUAGCGAACAAGUACCGUGAGGGAAAGAUGAAAAGCACUUUGGAAAGAGAGUUAAACAGUACGUGAAAUUGCUGAAAGGGAAACGCUUGAAGUCAGUCGCGUUAUGCAGAACUCAGCCUGGCUUUUGCUUGGUGUAUUUUCUGUAUGACGGGUCAGCAUCAAUUUUGAUCGCUGGAAAAAGGCCUCAGAAAUGUGGCACCUUCGGGUGUGUUAUAGUCUGGGGUCAUAUACAGCGGUUGGGAUUGAGGUCUGCAGCACGCCUUUAUGGCUGGGUUUCGCCCACAUUCGUGCUUAGGAUGCUGGCGUAAUGGCUUUAACGAC
rnacentral:rRNA from 1 species